rnacentral:rRNA from 1 species
GAUGAACGCUGGCGGCGUGCCUAAUACAUGCAAGUCGAGCGAACGGACGAGAAGCUUUCUUCUCUGAUGUUAGCGGCGGACGGGUGAGUAACACGUGGAUAACCUACCUAUAAGACUGGGAUAACUUCGGGAAACCGGAGCUAAUACCGGCUAAUAUUUUGAACCGCAUGGUUCAAAAGUGAAAGACGGUCUUGCUGUCACUUAUAGAUGGAUCCGCGCUGCAUUAGCUAGUUGGUAAGGUAACGGCUUACCAAGGCAACGAUGCAUAGCCGACCUGAGAGGGUGAUCGGCCACACUGGAACUGAGACACGGUCCAGACUCCUACGGGAGGCAGCAGUAGGGAAUCUUCCGCAAUGGGCGAAAGCCUGACGGAGCAACGCCGCGUGAGUGAUGAAGGUCUUCGGAUCGUAAAACUCUGUUAUUAGGGAAGAACAUAUGUGUAAGUAACUGUGCACAUCUUGACGGUACCUAAUCAGAAAGCCACGGCUAACUACGUG